CCGGCAACCGGCGCACGGGUGAGUAACACGUAUGCAACCUGCCCGUCUCUGGGGGAUAAUCGUCGGAAACGGCGUCUAAUACCCCGUAUGAAGCUGGACGGCAUCGUCUGGUUUUGAAAGAAUAUCGGAGACGGAUGGGCAUGCGGCGCAUUAGCUAGUUGGCGGGGUAACGGCCCACCAAGGCGACGAUGCGUAGGGGUUCUGAGAGGAAGGUCCCCCACACUGGUACUGAGACACGGACCAGACUCCUACGGAAGGCAGCAG
rnacentral:rRNA from 1 species